rnacentral:rRNA from 1 species
CUGACCGUAAACGAUGCCAACUAGCGAUCCGCCGGUGGCUCUUUGGCCCUGGUGGGGAGCUUCCCGGAAACGAAAGUCUUCCGGUUCCGGGGGAAGUAUGGUUGCAAAGCUGAAACUUAAAGGAAUUGACGGAAGGGCACCACCAGGAGUGGAGCCUGCGGCUUAAUUUGACUCAACACGGGAAAACUCACCCGGCCCGGACACCGUGAGGAUUGACAGAUUGAUAGCUUUUUCAUGAUUCGGUGGUUGGUGGUGCAUGGCCGUUCUUAGUUCGUGGAUCGAUUUGUCUGGUUUAUUCCGAUAACGAGCGAGACUCCAGCCUACUAACUAGUGCGGGCAUUGCCUCUGUGCUUGUCACUUCUUAGAGGGAUUGGCUGCGUCUAGCGGCACGAAACGGAGCAAUAACAGGUCUGUGAUGCCCUUAGAUGUCCGGGGCUGCACGCGCGCUACACUGGCAAAAGCAGCGUGCUUGUCCGCCUCCGAAAGGAGCCGGUAAACCCUUGAAAAUUUGCCGUGAUUGGGAUCGGAAAUUGCAAUUAUUUCCGUGAACGAGGAAUUCCUAGUAAGUGCGAGUCAUCAGCUCGCGUUG